AGGGUUUAGGAAGAAAUCCCUGAGCCUCCCGUGUUAGGAAAGGAAAAUGUUUUGUUAAAUG
rnacentral:ncRNA from 2 species